rnacentral:rRNA from 1 species
UACAGGGGGUGCAAGCGUUGCUCGGAAUCACUGGGCGUAAAGCGAGCGCAGGCGGCCGAUUAAGUCAGGGGUGAAAUCCCGGGGCUCAACCUCGGAAUUGCCUUUGAUACUGUCUGUCUUGAGUUCGGGAGAGGUUGGCGGAAUUCCUAGUGUAGAGGUGAAAUUCGUAGAUAUUAGGAAGAACACCAGUGGCGAAGGCGGCCAACUGGCCCGAUACUGACGCUCAUGUGCGAAAGCGUGGGGAGCAAACAGG